UGCCAGCCGCCGCGGUAACACGGGGGGCGCAAGCGUUAUUCGGAAUUAUUGGGCGUAAAGAGCAUGUAGGCGGACUGUUAAGUCUGAUGUGAAAGCCCGGGGCUCAACCCCGGAAGUGCAUUGGAUACUGGCAGCCUUGAGUAUGGGAGAGGAAAGUGGAAUUCCGAGUGUAGGAGUGAAAUCCGUAGAUAUUCGGAGGAACACCAGUGGCGAAGGCGGCUUUCUGGACCAAUACUGACGCUGAGGUGCGAAAGCGUGGGGAGCAGACAGAAUUAGAUA
rnacentral:rRNA from 1 species